CAAACCAAAGCUGGCGACCGGCGCACGGGUGAGUAACGCGUAUCCAACCUGCCUCAUACUCGGGGAUAGCCUUUCGAAAGAAAGAUUAAUAUCCGAUAGCAUAUAUUUCCCGCAUGGGUUUUAUAUUAAAGAAGUUCGGUAUGAGAUGGGGAUGCGUUCCAUUAGUUUGUUGGGGGGUAACGGCCCACCAAGACUACGAUGGAUAGGGGUUCUGAGGGGAAGGUCCCCCACAUUGGAACUGAGACACGGUCCAA
rnacentral:rRNA from 1 species